AAUAUUUUUGUACCGCUUUUCGUUGCUCACAUCAGUAAUAAUACUAAAUUUCCUUCAUGUGUCGCGGUUUUAACUUUUGAUGUACGUUAAUAACAUAAUUUGACAAUAAAAAGACCUAGUGACCUAUAAUAUGUAUACUAAAACUAUAUAUAUAGUUUAAAGUGUUUUUAAGUUUUUAAGUGAAUAAAUUUAAGAGUUAGUUACUAUAUAUUACCU